rnacentral:rRNA from 1 species
UAAUACGGAGGGUGCAAGCGUUAAUCGGAAUUACUGGGCGUAAAGCGCACGCAGGCGGUUUGUUAAGUCAGAUGUGAAAUCCCCGAGCUUAACUUGGGAACUGCAUUUGAAACUGGCAAGCUAGAGUCUUGUAGAGGGGGGUAGAAUUCCAGGUGUAGCGGUGAAAUGCGUAGAGAUCUGGAGGAAUACCGGUGGCGAAGGCGGCCCCCUGGACAAAGACUGACGCUCAGGUGCGAAAGCGUGGGGAGCAAACAGGAUUAGAUACCCUGGUAGUCCACGCUGUAAACGAUGUCGACUUGGAGGUUGUGCCCUUGAGGCGUGUCUUCCGGAGCUAACGCGUUAAGUCGACCGCCUGGGGAGUACGGCCGCAAGGUUAAA